rnacentral:rRNA from 1 species
CCUACGGGUGGCAGCAGUGAGGAAUAUUGGUCAAUGGACGAGAGUCUGAACCAGCCAAGCAGCGUGAAGGAUGACUGCUCUAUGGGUUGUAAACUUCUUUUAUAUGGGAAUACAACGUUCAACGUGUGUGAUUUUGUAUGUACCAUAUGAAUAAGGAUCGGCUAACUCCGUGCCAGCAGCCGCGGUAAUACGGAGGAUCCGAGCGUUAUCCGGAUUUAUUGGGUUUAAAGGGAGCGUAGGGGGAUUGUUAAGUUAGUUGUGAAAGUUUGCGGCUCAACCGUAAAAUUGCAGUUGAAACUGGCAGUCUUGAGUACAGUAGAGGUGAGCGGAAUUCGUGGUGUAGCGGUGAAAUGCUUAGAUAUCACGAAGAACACCGAUUGCGAAGGCAGUUCACUGGACUGCAACUGACGCUGAGGCUCGAAAGUGUGGGUAGCAAACAGGAUUAGAUACCCUUGUAGUC